UGCAGUCGAGCGGACAGAAGGGAGCUUGCUCCCGGAUGUUAGCGGCGGACGGGUGAGUAACACGUGGGUAACCUGCCUGUAAGACUGGGAUAACUCCGGGAAACCGGAGCUAAUACCGGAUAGUUCCUUGAACCGCAUGGUUCAAGGAUGAAAGACGGUUUCGGCUGUCACUUACAGAUGGACCCGCGGCGCAUUAGCUAGUUGGUGGGGUAAUGGCUCACCAAGGCGACGAUGCGUAGCCGACCUGAGAGGGUGAUCGGCCACACUGGGACUGAGACACGGCCCAGACUCCUACGGGAGGCAGCAGUAGGGAAUCUUCCGCAAUGGACGAAAGUCUGACGGAGCAACGCCGCGUGAGUGAUGAAGGUUUUCGGAUCGUAAAGCUCUGUUGUUAGGGAAGAACAAGUGCGAGAGUAACUGCUCGCACCUUGACGGUACCUAACCAGAAAGCCACGGCUAACUACGUGCCAGCAGCCGCGGUAAUACGUAGUGGCAGCGUUGUCCGGAUUAUUGGU
rnacentral:rRNA from 1 species